CAAAAACAUCGCCUCCCGCAAAACCGAAGUAUCGGAGGUCCUACCUGCCCACUGACUAUUUGUUCAACGGCCGCGGUAUCUUGACCGUGCUAAGGUAGCGAAAUCACUUGUCUUUUAAAUGGGGACCUGUAUGAAUGGUGGAACGAGGGCUUAACUGUCUCCUUUUUCAAGUCAGUGAAAUUGAUCUGCCCGUGCAGAAGCGGACAUAAAAAUACAAGACGAGAAGACCCUUUGGAGCUUAAGACAUAUGAUCAAUUGUGUUAAAAAUUCUACCAAAAAAAUUAAACUGAGCAAUACUGACUCUGCGUCUUCGGUUGGGGCGACCACGGGGGAAAACAAAGCCCCCACGAAGAAUGGGACCUCUCCCUAAAACCAAGAGAAACAUCUCUAAGUCACAGAACCUCUGACUAAAAGAUCCGGCAUACGCCGAUUAACGAAUCAAGUUACCCUAGGGAUAACAGCGCAAUCCCCUCCAAGAGCCCAUAUCAACGAGGGGGUUUACGACCUCGAUGUUGGAUCAGGACAUCCUAAUGGUGCAGCCGCUAUUGAGGGUUCGUUUGUUCAACGAUUAAAGUCCUACGUGAUCUGAG
rnacentral:rRNA from 1 species